rnacentral:lncRNA from 1 species
AAAAAAAUAUAAUAAAUCUAUGAACAAGGACAGUAUAAUAAAAAUGAAUAUUAGAAUAAAAAAGAGCUCUAGGAAAAAAUUUACAGCAUAAAUUAAACCAAAGCUUUGAUCAAAAAGUUGAAUAAAUGUCACAGAAUUAAUUGUGUGCCCCACCAAAUUCAUAUAUUGAAGCCCUAAACUCCAUAGUACCUCAGUAUGUGACAGUAUUUGGAGAUAGAGCUUUAAAGAGGUAAUUAAGUUAAAUGUGGCUCUUAGAGUGUGCUCCAAUCCAAUCUGACUGAUGUUCUUAUGAGAAGAGAUUAGAACACACAGACAGCAGGUGUGUGUACACAGAGGGACGACCACAUGAAGAGGCAGCAAGAGGGCUGCUCUCUGCAGGUGGAGGAGAGAGGCCUCAAGAAGAAACCACUCCCUACUUGACCUUGGAUUACUAGGCUCCAGAACUGUGAGAAAGCAGAUAUAUUUCAUUUAAACCACCCAUUCUGUGGCAUUUUGUUAUGAUAUCCCUAGAAAACCAAUAUAGUAAUUUUCCCAGGAAAUAGAAUCACAGCAACAAAACCAAAAUAAACAAAGCAAAACAAGAAGAUGGAAAGCAUAGAACUACAAGAAAGUAGAGAAAUAAUCAAAACAGUUCAAUAUCUCAUAAAGAGAAAACAGACAUAUUGCAGGAAGAAAAGUAGAACAGAGAGAGUUUAAGAAAAUCAGAAAGUGCUCUGCCAAGUGCCUAGUAUAACAAUUGAAACAAACCACAUACCAAAUCAUAUUGUUGUGCAAUUUCAGAACAGAGGGAAUAAAGAGCAGAUCUUCCAAUCUCCCAGAAAGUAUGAGAAAGAAAAAGAAAGGUCAAAAGUUGAUCACAAAUACAAUGAAACAGAAACCAGAACGAUGUUGGAUUUCUUAAGAACAGAAAAUAUACAUGAAUAAUUUCAGAGAAUGUGUGUUCUGUCAGCAGCUAAGAGCACAGAUCUGGUUACUGAUCAAGACUGAAGCGAGGCUGAGAAAAUGCAGAACUGAGAUCAAGGUGCUCACAAGGGUAACAGUCAAGUUCACUGAACCUCAACUAGGGUGGAGCCAAAGGACAUUCUUCCCAGCACCCUCAGAGGUAUUGCCGCCUUUGGAACAAUCAGUCAAACAACCAAGCCCAACAAUCUCUCUUUUAAUGUUUGUUGGACGUAUUGACAUAGAAAUAGAAUUUUCCUUCCUGGUAGUACUGUGA